rnacentral:rRNA from 1 species
AGUGAACGCUGGCGGUAGGCCUAACACAUGCAAGUCGAACGGCAGCACAGUAAGAGCUUGCUCUUACGGGUGGCGAGUGGCGGACGGGUGAGGAAUACAUCGGAAUCUACUUUUUCGUGGGGGAUAACGUAGGGAAACUUACGCUAAUACCGCAUACGACCUACGGGUGAAAGCAGGGGAUCUUCGGACCUUGCGCGAUUGAAUGAGCCGAUGUCGGAUUAGCUAGUUGGCGGGGUAAAGGCCCACCAAGGCGACGAUCCGUAGCUGGUCUGAGAGGAUGAGCAGCCACACUGAAACUGAGACACGGUCCAGACUCCUACGGGAGGCAGCAGUGGGGAAUAUUGGACAAUGGGCGCAAGCCUAAUCCAGCCAUACCGCGUGGGUGAAGAGGGCCUUCGGGUUGUAAAGCCCUUUUGUUGGGAAAGAAAAGCAGCAGGUUAAUACCCCGCUGUUCUGACGGUACCCAAAGAAUAAGCACCGGCUAACUUCGUG